GUACAGGGGCGGCGGCUCCAGCGGCGUGUUGUCACUCAGAAGGACUCGGGGAGAAUUGUAGCGUCUCUGCUGCCUCAGGAGAUCUAAAACUUGUUUUUUAAAAUGUCUGCCUGAAUGAGUUUAAUAAUAAGAGAAUUUAUCGAAUCUUCUGGCAAACUCCUUUGAUCCAUGUUGGAAGACUGGAUGCCACGCAGGUGAAAAUCUUUCUGCAAAAGAGAGGAGCUGACCUGCCUGAGGUGCACAGGAGGCCUGUGGCGUGACAGGGCUGGACUGGAAGAAGUCAAUGCAAGCAGAGGCCAGAGAAGCUUCUAGGUUUGGACCUGCUGGUUCCUGCAGCAGCACACUUCAUUGAGUAGUACCAAAAAUGAAUUUUGUUCUGUGUUGUGAUUUGCAGUUAGGUUCUUUGGUUUCCUAAAAAAUCAAAUUGCAGCCAAAGCUUCC